AGAGCGAACGCUGGCGGCAGGCCUAACACAUGCAAGUCGAGCGCCCCGCAAGGGGAGCGGCAGACGGGAGAGUAACACGUGGGAACGUACCCUUUGGUUCGGAACAACACAGGGAAACUUGUGCUAAUACCGGAUAAGCCCUUACGGGGAAAGAUUUAUCGCCAAAGGAUCGGCCCGCGUCUGAUUAGCUUGUUGGUGAGGUAACGGCUCACCAAGGCUACGAUCAGUAGCUGGUCUGAGAGGAUGAUCAGCCUCACUGGGACUGAGACACGGCCCAGACUCCUACGGGAGGCAGCAGUGGGGAAUAUUGGACAAUGGGCGCAAGCCUGAUCCAGCCAUGCCGCGUGGAUGAUGAAGGCCCUAGGGUUGUAAAGUCCUUUCGACGGGGAAGAUAAUGACGGUACCCGUAGAAGAAGCCCCGGCUAACUUCGCGCCAGUAGCCGC
rnacentral:rRNA from 1 species